CGUGUAGGCGGGGAUAUAAGUCAGAUGUGAAAUACCCAGGCUUAACUUGGGAACUGCAUCUGAAACUAUGUUUCUUGAGUGUCGGAGAGGAAAGUGGAAUUCCCAGUGUAGCGGUGAAAUGCGUAGAUAUUGGGAGGAACACCAGUGGCGAAGGCGACUUUCUGGACGAUAACUGACGCUGAGGCGCGAAAGCGUGGGGAGCAAACAGGAUUAGAUACCCUGGUAGUCCACGCUGUAAACGAUGGAUACUAGGUGUAGGAGGUAUCGACCCCUUCUGUGCCGGAGUUAACACAAUAAGUAUCCCACCUGGGGAGUACGGCCGCAAGGUUGAA
rnacentral:rRNA from 1 species